AGAGUUUGAUCCUGGCUCAGAUUGAACGCUGGCGGCAGGCCUAACACAUGCAAGUCGAGCGGUAGCACAGAGAGCUUGCUCUCGGGUGACGAGCGGCGGACGGGUGAGUAAUGUCUGGGAAACUGCCUGAUGGAGGGGGAUAACUACUGGAAACGGUAGCUAAUACCGCAUAACGUCGCAAGACCAAAGUGGGGGACCUUCGGGCCUCAUGCCAUCAGAUGUGCCCAGAUGGGAUUAGCUAGUAGGUGGGGUAACGGCUCACCUAGGCGACGAUCCCUAGCUGGUCUGAGAGGAUGACCAGCCACACUGGAACUGAGACACGGUCCAGACUCCUACGGGAGGCAGCAGUGGGGAAUAUUGCACAAUGGGCGCAAGCCUGAUGCAGCCAUGCCGCGUGUGUGAAGAAGGCCUUCGGGUUGUAAAGCACUUUCAGCGGGGAGGAAGGCGGUGAGGUUAAUAACCUCAUCGAUUGACGUUACCCGCAGAAGAAGCACCGGCUAACUCCGUGCCAGCAGCCGCGGUAAUACGGAGGGUGCAAGCGUUAAUCGGAAUUACUGGGCGUAAAGCGCACGCAGGCGGUCUGUCAAGUCGGAUGUGAAAUCCCCGGGCUCAACCUGGGAACUGCAUUCGAAACUGGCAGGCUAGAGUCUUGUAGAGGGGGGUAGAAUUCCAGGUGUAGCGGUGAAAUGCGUAGAGAUCUGGAGGAAUACCGGUGGCGAAGGCGGCCCCCUGGACAAAGACUGACGCUCAGGUGCGAAAGCGUGGGGAGCAAACAGGAUUAGAUACCCUGGUAGUCCACGCUGUAAACGAUGUCGAUUUGGAGGUUGUGCCCUUGAGGCGUGGCUUCCGGAGCUAACGCGUUAAAUCGACCGCCUGGGGAGUACGGCCGCAAGGUUAAAACUCAAAUGAAUUGACGGGGGCCCGCACAAGCGGUGGAGCAUGUGGUUUAAUUCGAUGCAACGCGAAGAACCUUACCUGGUCUUGACAUCCACAGAACUUUCCAGAGAUGGAUUGGUGCCUUCGGGAACUGUGAGACAGGUGCUGCAUGGCUGUCGUCAGCUCGUGUUGUGAAAUGUUGGGUUAAGUCCCGCAACGAGCGCAACCCUUAUCCUUUGUUGCCAGCGGUUAGGCCGGGAACUCAAAGGAGACUGCCAGUGAUAAACUGGAGGAAGGUGGGGAUGACGUCAAGUCAUCAUGGCCCUUACGACCAGGGCUACACACGUGCUACAAUGGCAUAUACAAAGAGAAGCGACCUCGCGAGAGCAAGCGGACCUCAUAAAGUAUGUCGUAGUCCGGAUUGGAGUCUGCAACUCGACUCCAUGAAGUCGGAAUCGCUAGUAAUCGUAGAUCAGAAUGCUACGGUGAAUACGUUCCCGGGCCUUGUACACACCGCCCGUCACACCAUGGGAGUGGGUUGCAAAAGAAGUAGGUAGCUUAACCUUCGGGAGGGCGCUUACCACUUUGUGAUUCAUGACUGGGGUGAAGUCGUAACAAGGUA
rnacentral:rRNA from 1 species